UUCCCGUGUUGACAUGGAGUUAUAUCAACACGGCUCUUAGCCAAUCAGCAUUCAGAAUUUACAAAUGCUAUAUUAUAAAUAUAUUUAUAAUAUAGCAUUUGUAAAUUCUGAACGCUGAUUGGCUAAGAGCCGUGUUGAUAUAACUCCAUGUCAACACGGGA
rnacentral:miRNA from 1 species